rnacentral:rRNA from 1 species
AACGAACGCUGGCGGCAUGCCUAACACAUGCAAGUCGAACGAGACCUUCGGGUCUAGUGGCGCACGGGUGCGUAACGCGUGGGAACCUGCCCUUAGGUUCGGAAUAACUCCCCGAAAGGGGUGCUAAUACCGGAUAAUGUCUUCGGACCAAAGAUUUAUCGCCUUUGGAUGGGCCCGCGUUGGAUUAGCUAGUUGGUAGGGUAAAAGCCUACCAAGGCGACGAUCCAUAGCUGGUCUGAGAGGAUGGUCAGCCACACUGGGACUGAGACACGGCCCAGACGCCUACGGGAGGCAGCAGUGGGGAAUAUUGGACAAUGGGCGAAAGGCUGAUCAAGCAAUGCCGCGUGAGUGAUGAAGGCCUUAGGGUUGUAAAGCUCUUUUACCCGGGAUGAUAAUGACGGUACCGGGAGAAUAAGCGCCGGCUAACUCCGUG